rnacentral:rRNA from 1 species
AUUGAACGCUGGCGGCAGGCCUAACACAUGCAAGUCGAGCGGAUGAGGGGAGCUUGCUCCCUGAUUUAGCGGCGGACGGGUGAGUAAUGCGUAGGAAGCUGCCCGAUAGAGGGGGAUACCAGUUGGAAACGACUGUCAAUACCACAUAAUGUCUAUGGACCAAAGUGUGGGACCUUCGGGCCACAUGCUAUCGGAUGCGCCUACGUGGGAUUAGCUAGUUGGUGAGGUAAUGGCUCACCAAGGCGACGAUCUCUAGCUGGUUUGAGAGGAUGAUCAGCCACACUGGAACUGAGACACGGUCCAGACUCCUACGGGAGGCAGCAGUGGGGAAUAUUGGACAAUGGGCGCAAGCCUGAUCCAGCCAUGCCGCGUGUGUGAAGAAGGCCUUCGGGUUGUAAAGCACUUUCAGCGAGGAGGAAGGGUGGUGUGUUAAUAGCACAUCAUUUUGACGUUACUCGCAGAAGAAGCACCGGCUAACUCUGUGCCAGCAGCCGCAGUAACAC